rnacentral:rRNA from 1 species
GAUGAACGCUGGCGGCGUGCCUAAUACAUGCAAGUCGAGCGAACGGACGAGAAGCUUGCUUUUCUGAUGUUAGCGGCGGACGGGUGAGUAACACGUGGAUAACCUACCUAUAAGACUGGGAUAACUUCGGGAAACCGGAGCUAAUACCGGAUAAUAUUUUGAACCGCAUGGUUCAAAAGUGAAAGACGGUCUUGCUGUCACUUAUAGAUGGAUCCGCGCUGCAUUAGCUAGUUGGUAAGGUAACGGCUUACCAAGGCAACGAUGCAUAGCCGACCUGAGAGGGUGAUCGGCCACACUGGAACUGAGACACGGUCCAGACUCCUACGGGAGGCAGCAGUAGGGAAUCUUCCGCAAAGGGCGAAAGCCUGACGGAGCAACGCCGCGUGAGUGAUGAAGGUCUUCGGAUCGUAAAACUCUGUUAUUAGGGAAGAACAGAUGUGUAAGUAACUGUGGACAUCUUGACGGUACCUAAUCAAAAAGCACCGGCUAACUACGUG